UACGUAGGGGGCAAGCGUUGUCCGGAUUUAUUGGGCGUAAAGAGCGUGUAGGCGGCUAUGCAGGUCCGUUGUGAAAACUCGAGGCUCAACCUCGAGACGCCGAUGGAAACCGUUUGGCUAGAGUCCGGAAGAGGAGAGUGGAAUUCCUGGUGUAGCGGUGAAAUGCGCAGAUAUCAGGAAGAACACCCGUGGCUAAGGCGGCUCUCUAGUACGGUACUGACGCUGAGACGCGAAAGCGUGGGGAGCGAACAGG
rnacentral:rRNA from 1 species